rnacentral:rRNA from 1 species
AUUGAACGCUGGCGGCAGGCCUAACACAUGCAAGUCGAGCGGAUGAAGGGAGCUUGCUCCUGGAUUCAGCGGCGGACGGGUGAGUAAUGCCUAGGAAUCUGCCUGGUAGUGGGGGAUAACGUCCGGAAACGGGCGCUAAUAUCGCAUACGUCCUGAGGGAGAAAGUGGGGGAUCUUCGGACCUCACGCUAUCAGAUGAGCCUAGGUCGGAUUAGCUAGUUGGUGGGGUAAAGGCCUACCAAGGCGACGAUCCGUAACUGGUCUGAGAGGAUGUUCAGUCACACUGGAACUGAGACACGGUCCAGACUCCUACGGGAGGCAGCAGUGGGGAAUAUUAGACAAUGGGCGAAAGCCUGAUCCAGCCAUGCCGCGUGUGUGAAGAAGGUCUUCGGAUUGUAAAGCACUUUAAGUUGGGAGGAAGGGCAGUAAGUUAAUACCUUGCUGUUUUGACGUUACCAACAGAAUAAGCACCGGCUAACUUCGUG